CCCUGUUAUAUAUAAAAAUAUAAAUUAUUAUGUAAUUGAAACUUAAAGUUUUUGGCGGCUAUUUAUUAUUUAGAGGAACUUGCUUGUCAUAGAAAUCACUCUUUAUAUUUUAUUAAUUUCUGCUUAUUUAUCUUCGUUAUUAGAUGAAAAUUAUUAAAAAAUUUUUUUUAAUAUUUCAGAUCAAGAUGUAGCAAAAAUUAGAAUAAGUUAGUUACAUUUAUGAAAUAAUGGAUUUUUGAUUUUAAAUAAAAAGUUGAAAUUGAAUUUAGUUGUAAAAGUUUCUAGGAAGAAGGUUUGAAACUUUAUAAUUAGUGUA
rnacentral:rRNA from 1 species